rnacentral:tRNA from 1 species
GCGCAGGUAGGCAAUGGUAGACCACUAAGUCCGAGAUACUUAGAUGAUUGUGGGUUCGAGUCCCACUCUGCGCAC